UAAUGCAUUAUGUAAAGACACAGGCUUA
rnacentral:piRNA from 1 species